UACGGAGGGUGCGAGCGUUGUCCGGAAUCACUGGGCGUAAAGGGCGCGUAGGCGGUCAGCACAAGUCAGUUGUGAAAUCUCCGGGCUUAACUCGGAAAGGUCAACUGAUACUGUGCGACUAGAGUGCAGAAGGGGCAACUGGAAUUCUCGGUGUAGCGGUGAAAUGCGUAGAUAUCGAGAGGAACACCUGCGGCGAAGGCGGGUUGCUGGGCUGACACUGACGCUGAUGCGCGAAAGCCAGGGGAGCGAACGGG
rnacentral:rRNA from 1 species